rnacentral:rRNA from 1 species
CAAAUAGACCAAAACGAGAUUCCACACGACCCAUGUCACCUAGGAGAUCCACCGGGUGUGUCUAAAAUGAUUUUUGAGCAUGUGGUACGUUCGGCGCAAAUUAUGCACCUAUCUUGUGUCAAGAUUAAAACUAUCUCCAAACGGACCAAAACGAGCAUCCACUUGAGCCUCGUCACCUAGGAGUACCAUCGGGGCAUCUAAAAUGAUUUCUGAGCCUAUGGUACGUUAGGCGCAAACUGCACACCUAUCUUGCACCGACACUAAUGCUGUCUCCAAAUGGACCGAAACAAUAUUCCACAUGACCUAUGUCACCUAGGAGUUCCAUCGGGUGCGUCCAAAAUGAUUUCUGAGCCUAUGGUACAUUCGGCAUAGACCAUGCACCUAUCUUGCAUAAAGAUUAGCACUAUCUGCAAAUAGACGAAAUCGAGAUUCCACUUGAGCCUCGUCACCUAGGAGUACCAUCAGGUGCAUACAAAAUGAUUUUUGAGCUGAUGGUACGUUUGGCGCAAACCGUGCAUAUCUUGCACCGAUACUAACAUUGUCUCCAAGCGGACUAAAAUGAGAUUCCAUAGACCUAAGUCACCUAGGAGUUCCAGUGGGUGUGUCCAAAACGACAUCUGAGCCUAUGGCAUGAUCAGCGCAAACUGUGCACAUAUCUUGUGUCAGGAUUAGCACUAUUUCCAAAUGGACCGAACUGAGCAUCCAUUUGAGCCUCGUCACCUAGGUGUACCAACGCGUGCGUCCAAAAUGAUUUCAGAGCCUAUGGUACAUUUGGCGCAAACCGUGCACCUAUCUUGCACUGACGCUAACACUAUCUCCAAAUGGAUCGAAAUGAUAUUCCACGUGACCUACGUCACCUAAGAGUUCCAUCCGAUGUGUCCAAAAUGAUUUCUAAGCCUAUGGUACAUUCGACGCAAACCAUGCACCUGUCUUGCAUCAAGAUUAGCACUAUCUGCAAAUAGACGGAAUCGAGCUUCCACUUGGGCCACAUCACCUAGAAGUACCGUCAGGUGCAUCCAAAAUGAUUUCUGAGCUUAUGGUACAUUUGGCGUAAACCGUGCAUAUCUUGCAAUGACACUAACAUUGUCUCCAAACAGAAUGAAAUGGGAUUCCACAUACCCAAGUCACCUAGGAGUUCCAUCGGGUGUGUCCAAAACGACAUCCGAGCCUAUGGUACGAUCGGCGCAAACCGUGCACCUACCUUGUGUCAGGAUUAGCAGUAUCUCCAAACGGACCGAAACAUGCAUCCACUUGAGCCUCGUCACUUAGGAGUACCAAUGGGUGCGUCCAAAAUGAUUUUUGAGCCUACGGUACAUUUGGCACAAACCGCGCACCUAUCUUGGACCGACACUAACACUAUCUUCAAACGGACCAAAACGGGAUUCCACCUGACCCAAGUCACCUAGGAGUUCCAUCAGGUGUUGUCAUAGUCAACGAUAGUUGAAACUUCUAGGAAAACUUUGAAUUGGGAGGGCAAUCCUCUUGGUGAACUGACCGUACCCCAAACCGACAUAGGUGAACAAGUAGAGUAUACUAGGGCGCGUUGAGAGAACCAUGUCAAAGGAACUCGGCAAAAUGACCCCGUAACUUCAGGAGAAGGGGUCCUAUCUUUUGAUUAGGAAAGCGGCACAUACCAGGGGUAGCAACUGUUUAUUAAAAACACAGGACUCUGCUAAGUGGUAACACAAUGUAUAGAGUCUGACACCUGCCUGGUGUUGGAAGGUUAGAAGGAGAAGUGUGAUAAGCUUUGAAUGGAAGCCCAGUAAACGGUAGCAGUAACUCUAUCUGUCCUAAGGUAGUGAAAUUCCUUGUCGCAUAAGUAGCGACCUGCACGAAUGGUGUAACGACUCCCCCGCUGUCUCCAACAUGGACCCGGUGAAAUUGAAUUCUCCGUGAAGAUGCGGAGUACCAAUGGCUAGACGGUAAGACCCCAUGCAUCUUGACAAUAGCUUUGCAGUGACAACCUUGAUCGAAUGUGUAGGAUAGGUGGGAGGUGGUGACACACAAUGACCAAUCCUGAAAGACCACUCUUUCGUCUAAGGAUGCCUAUCGCCGCACCGAUCAUUUGGGGGAAGGGCAGGACACUGCGAGGUGGGUAGUUUAUCUAGGGUGAAUGCCUCCUAAAGAGUAAUGGAGGUGUGCGAAGGUAGGCUCAAGCAUUGAUUCUACUCAUGAGUGUAAUGGUAUAAGCCUUCCUGACUAUGAGACUGACUGGUCGAAUAGCGACGAAAGUCGGCCAUAGUGAUUCGGGAGUCCGUGUGAAAGGGCUCUCGCUCAAUGGAUCAAAGGUACGCCACGGAUAACAGGCUGGUGACUCCUAAGAGCUCUUAUCGACAGAGUCAUUUGUUACCUUGAUGUCGACUCAUCACAUCCUAGGGUUGAAGAAAGUCCCAAGGGUUUGGUUGUUUGUCGAUGAAAGUGGUACGUGAGUUGGGUUUAGAACGUCGUGAGACAGUUCGGUUCCUAUCUUCCAUUGGUGUUAAAGGGAGAACUACGAGGAGCCAACCCUUGUAUGAGAGGACUGGGUUGCGUCAACCUAUGGUGUACCGGUUGUUAUGCCAAUAGCAGCGCUAGGCAGCUAAGUUGGUAUGGAAGAACUGCUACACCACAGGAAAUCCUUCUCUAUACAAGUUCUCGUACGAGGUUUUUGAACAGAACUUUGAUAGGUGAGAGUGUAAGCACCACAAGGUGUGAAGCGAUCUCAUACUAAACGAAUGGAACUUUCCAACCU